AGUAGUUUCCGUUUAUGAAAAAUGAAGUAAACCUAAUCCUUGAUGUUCUUGUCCGCAGUCCGCCUUUCUUCCUCCUCGUCUCUUUCCUAAACUAAAGGUGUGCCGCUGGUAAUGAUGGUGGCGGAGGUGGUUUUGCCGUGCUGGUGAUAGAGGCGGCACUGUUGGUGCCAUUAUGGUGGUGGUAGGUGAAGAACAUGGCGGAGGUGUUGGUAUAAGUGGCGUUUUGGCGAGGUGAAGUGGAGGUGGUGUUGUGGUUGGGGUGAUGGUGGUGCUGUUGUGUGGCGGUGGUAGCAGUAGCGAAGGUGGUGGCGGUGUCUGUGUCGGUGAUGAUAAAUAUUGAUAGUAAAUGGUGACGGUGAGUAACUGUGUAUGGAGGGAUAUAAUGGUCUUUUCAUUUGCAUAGUAAAUAGUAACUGUUACGGUGGUGCCGAAUAUAAUGUCGAACGACUGGGUGAGAUGGGAUAUAAUGGUCUUUUCAUUUGCAUAAUGAGGGAUGUUUCCGUCCAAUGAAAAAGUAACCAAAAAUCCAAAAAUUUCGACACCGAAAAUCAAAUUUUUUGUGAAAUUGAAA